rnacentral:rRNA from 1 species
CCUACGGGGGGCUGCAGUGGGGAAUAUUGCACAAUGGGGGAAACCCUGAUGCAGCAACGCCGCGUGGGUGAAGAAGUAUUUCGGUAUGUAAAGCCCUAUCAGCAGGGAAGAGAAUGACGGUACCUGACUAAGAAGCCCCGGCUAACUACGUGCCAGCAGCCGCGGUAAUACGUAGGGGGCAAGCGUUAUCCGGAUUUACUGGGUGUAAAGGGAGCGUAGACGGUUGUGCAAGUCUGAAGUGAAAGCCCGCGGCUCAACUGCGGAACGGCUUUGGAAACUGUGUAACUGGAGUGCUGGAGAGGUAAGCGGAAUUCCAGGUGUAGGAGUGAAAUCCGUAGAUAUCUGGAGGAACAUCAGUGGCGAAGGCGACUAUCUGGCACAUAACUGACGCUGAGGAGCGAAAGCGUGGGUAGCAAACAGGAUUAGAUACCCUAGUAGUC